rnacentral:rRNA from 1 species
GACAGAGGGUGCGAACGUUGCUCGGAAUUACUGGGCGUAAAGCGCGUGUAGGUGGGUCGAUAAGUCGGGCGUGAAAUCCCUGGGCUCAACCCGGGAACUGCGCUCGAAACUAUCGAUCUUGAGUGCCGGAGAGGGUGGCGGAAUUCCUGGUGUAGAGGUGAAAUUCGUAGAUAUCAGGAGGAACACCGGUGGCGAAGGCGGCCACCUGGACGGCUACUGACACUGAGACGCGAAAGCGUGGGGAGCAAACAGG